rnacentral:rRNA from 1 species
ACCGCGUGAGGGAAGACGGCCUAUGGGUUGUAAACCUCUUUUUUCAGGGAGGAAUUAAAUGACGUGUACCUGAAGAAUAAGCAUCGGCUAACUCCGUGCCAGCAGCCGCGGUAAGACGGAGGAUGCAAGUGUUAUCCGGAAUCACUGGGCGUAAAGCGUCUGUAGGUGGUCUAAUAAGUCAACUGUUAAAUCUUGAGGCUCAACCUCAAAAUCGCAGUCGAAACUAUUAGACUAGAGUAUAGUAGGGGUAAAGGGAAUUUCCAGUGGAGCGGUGAAAUGCGUAGAGAUUGGAAAGAACACCGAUGGCGAAGGCACUUUACUGGGCUAUUACUAACACUCAGAGACGAAAGCUAGGGUAGCAAAUGGGAUUAGAUACCCCAGUAGUCCUAGCCGUAAACAAUGGAUACUAGAUGUUGAACAGAUCGACCUGUGCAGUAUCAAAGCUAACGCGUUAAG